CAUGCAAGUCGAACGGAAAGGCCCUUCGGGGUGCUCGAGUGGCGAACGGGUGAGUAACACGUGGGUGAUCUGCCCUGCACUUUGGGAUAAGCCUGGGAAACUGGGUCUAAUACCGAAUAUGACUACAUGCUUCCUGGUGUGUGGUGGAAAGCUUUUGCGGUGUGGGAUGGGCCCGCGGCCUAUCAGCUUGUUGGUGGGGUAAUGGCCUACCAAGGCGACGACGGGUAGCCGGCCUGAGAGGGUGACCGGCCACACUGGGACUGAGAUACGGCCCAGACUCCUACGGGAGGCAGCAGUGGGGAAUAUUGCACAAUGGGCGCAAGCCUGAUGCAGCGACGCCGCGUGAGGGAUGACGGCCUUCGGGUUGUAAACCUCUUUCAGCACAGACGAAGCGCGAGUGACGGUAUGUGCAGAAGAAGGACCGGCCAACUACGUGCCAGCAGCCGCGGUAAUACGUAGGGUCCGAGCGUUGUCCGGAAUUACUGGGCGUAAAGAGCUCGUAGGUGGUUUGUCGCGUUGUUCGUGAAAACUCACA
rnacentral:rRNA from 1 species